AUGUUGGAGUCUGACUUUGUUGAGAAAGCUCCAGAAGACACAAAGGUCUCUCAAGAAGAUCUCAAAUUUCUAACAAAGAUGAAGACCGGCAUUAGGCACAAGGAGGAUGGUCAUUUUGAAAUGCCACUCCCAUUCAAGAGUGAAAGGCCGAACCUGCCGAACAACAAGGCAUGUGCUAUUCAUCGCCUCAAAUGUUUAGGAAAAAGGCUCAAGAGUAACAAGCAGUACUACAUGGACUAUAAGAAAUUCAUGGAUGAGAUCCUCGCCCAUGGAGAUGCUGAAAAGGUCCCAGAGCAAGACAUUGACAAGACACCAGUUUGGUACAUCCCACACCAUGGUGUGUAUCAUCCACAAAAACCCGGAAAGAUUCGUGUCGUCUUUGAUGCCUCUGCCAAGUUCCAAGGCACUUCCCUAAAUGACCAUCUCCUGACUGGUCCAGAGCUAACAAACACCUUGCUCGGAGUCUUGUGUCGCUUCCGAAGAGGGCCAGUGGCUUUCAUGUGUGACAUCGAACGCAUGUUCCACCAAUUCCAUGUGCAUGCUUGCGACCAAGAUUACCUACGGUUCUUGUGGUGGGAGAACGGUGACCUUGAAACUCCAUUCACUGUCUACAGGAUGAAGGUACACCUAUUUGGAGCAGCAUCUUCUCCAGGUUGCGCCAACUAUGGCCUCAAGCAUCUUGCAGCUGAAGGGGAAGGAAGUUUUGAUGAAGAAACCAUCAAGUUCAUCAAAACCAACUUCUACGUUGAUGAUGGACUAGCAAGUGUUGACACUGAAGAUCAGGCAAUACAGCUGGUUAAUGAAGCAUGCAAACUCUGCAGCAUGGGCAAACUUCGGUUGCACAAGUUCAUCUCAAACAGCACCAAAGUUCUAGCUUCGCUUCCGAAGGAAGAAUGUGCUGCAGCUCCCAAAGAUCUAGAUAUGGCACUCAGUGAAGUACAUAUGGAAAGAGCACUUGGCGUACAAUGGUGUGUGGCAUCAGAUCAGUUUCAGUUCAGAGUAGUUGUUAAGGAAAAACCACUCACCAGAAGAGGAGUAUUGGCCACAGUCGCCUCUGUGUUCGAUCCACUUGGGUUUGUGUCACCUUUCAUUCUGCUGGGGAAGCAGAUCUUGCAACAAAUGUGUCGAGAUAAACUCAGCUGGGAUGAUAACUUACCUGACAGUCUUCGACCUCAGUGGGAGGCUUGGUUGCGUGACCUGGGAAACCUUGCAGAUGUAAAGGUUCACAGAUGCUACAUUCCUUCGAACUUCAAGGCACAGCACUACGAACUUCAUCAUUUUGCCGAUGCAAGCGCAUCUGGAUAUGGAAUGUGCACUUACCUCAGAGCAGUAAGCACAACUGGUGAAGUCCACUGCUCAUUGGUGAUGGGAAGAUCAAGAGUUCCACCAACCAAAGUCACAACUAUACCUCGGCUUGAGUUGUCGGCGGCCGUUGUUGCUGUGCGCACUGGUGACAUGCUGAAAAAGGAAUUGGAAAUGGAAAUUUCAGAAGAAAGGUAUUGGACUGACUCGAAGGUGGUACUCGGGUACCUCAGCAAUGAAGCCAGAAGAUUUCAUGUGUUUGUUGCAAACCGAGUGGAACGCAUCAAACAAAGUACAGAUCCAACCCAAUGGAGGUAUGUAACUUCCGAAGACAAUCCGGCGGACCACGCCUCAAGAGGUCUCACAGCAGAACAACUUGUAGCAUCAAACUGGUUCAAAGGCCCCGACCUCCUUUGGCAGAAGGUCAUACCCACUGGUGAAAUUAAGGUGGGAGAGUUAUCAACCAGUGACCCGGAGGUUAAGAAGGUUCAAGUCCACAAGAUACAAGUGGAGGAACAAAGGUCCUUGGUAGAUCGCCUACACAAGUUUUCCGACUGGUCGAGAAUGGUUAAGGCAGUUGCUAGACUCAAGCGGUAUGUGAAAGAAGCAAAGGAUCACAAGAGUAGAUCACACGACAUCAGUAGCCUACAAGAGAGAAAGGAAGCAGAGUUAACGAUCAUAAAGAUGGUUCAAGAAACCGCCUUUGCUCAGCAAAUAAAAACCUUGCAACACCAUGAUGUGAUGCAGAUGAAAGACAAGGUUAACAAGUUACACAAGUUAUGUCCAUUUCUUGAUGACCAAGGCAUUCUUCGGGUAGGCGGACGCUUAACACAUGCAGCUUUGCACCCCAAUGUCAAGCAUCCUGCGAUCCUGCCAAGAGACAGUCACGUGUCGGCAUUACUGGUCAAACAUUAUCACGAGAAGACAUACCAUCAAGGACGAGGGAUCACCAUGAAUGAACUUCGAGCUAACGGAUUCUGGAUUCUUGGAUGCAGCAAGAUUGUGUCAUCUUACAUCUAUAAAUGUGUAAAAUGCAGAAGGUUCAGAAGGCGCACAGAGCAGCAGAAGAUGGCAGACCUCCCAGAGGAUCGGAUGGAGACCACACCGCCAUUCACCUACUGUGGGAUGGACUGCUUUGGUCCUUUUUAUGUCAAAGAAGGCCGCAAGGAGCUAAAGCGUUAUGGCUUGCUAAUCACUUGCAUGUGCUCCAGGGCAGUGCAUCUUGAAAUGCUUGAUGAUCUCUCUACAGAUUCCCUCAUCAACUCCUUACGUGCAUUCAUGGCCAUAAGAGGUACAGUUCGCCAGAUAAGAUGCGAUCAAGGCACGAAUUUUGUCGGCACUAGAAAUGAGUUUAUUGGAGCAUUUAAGGAAAUGGAUCAAGCCAAGCUAGGGAAACUGGACUGCGAGUUUCUCAUGAACACCCCAGCGUCUAGUCACAUGGGUGGUGUCUGGGAAAGACAAAUUCGCACCAUAAGAAGUGUUCUCAUGUCCAUUCUGGAACAAUCAGCCAAACAACUCGACAGCUCCUCUCUGAGGACAUUCCUGUAUGAAGUCAUGGCAGUGAUUAAUAGCAGACCAUUGACUACUGACCAACUAUGUGAUCCAUCAAACCCAGAACCUUUAACACCGAAUCACAUACUAACCAUGAAGUCCACAAUCAUCUCUCCACCUCCAGGAAGGUUUGUGAAAGAAGAUCUUUAUCUCCGUAAGAGGUGGCGUCGUGUUCAACUACUUGCCAACACUUUCUGGACAAGGUGGAAAAAGGAGUAUUUGUUAAAUCUUCAAGGCAGACAGAAGUGGACCAAAGAGCACAGAAAUGCUAAGAUCAAUGAUGUUGUCCUCCUGAAGGAUGAGAUAACUCCACGCAACCAGUGGAAGUUGGCAAGGAUCAUUGAAGUGUAUCCUGGAAAGGAUGGAAAAGUGAGGAAGGUGAAAUUGCUGCUGAGUGAUCCAACCCUGGAUAGAGCAGGAAAACGUACCUCCAAACCUGUGCACCUGGAAAGACCCAUUCAGAAGACAGUCAUUCUGAUGGAAGCGGAAGAAGAUUCUCAACCGCACUCUGCUUAA
rnacentral:lncRNA from 1 species